rnacentral:lncRNA from 1 species
UAUAGAAUUGAGAUAGAAUACUUUUAAAAGUAUCACCCUAUUGGUACUUUUAGGUUUCUAGCCCUUGGAUCUACUUCUUAAUUACUAAUAGCCAUUGGAUCAAACACUAUUCCACCUACCACCACCUACCACCAUCACCACAACCUUAUAUUCCUCCAUCCAAUGGUUAAAAACUCAAGCACCAUCUCAUUGGUGCUUUUGAGAGUAUUCUAGCUCAACUCUCUCUCUCUCUCUUUCUCUCUCUCUUUCUCUCUCUCUAUAUAGAUAUAUAUAGUUGGACUAGAAUACUAUCGAAUAGCAAACGGGCUUCAUUGUCAUCUAUUUGUUUUCAAUAAUAAAGCCUCCAAAUCGAUGAUCAGCACCGUUGAACAUGACCUAUACUACUUGAAGUAUUUAGAAAUCAAUUUUUUUUUAUCGACCGUCCCUAGAGCAAGUGGCAAAGGGCUUGUUGGUUGGUACCCAAGACCGAAGUUCGAAUCCUAGUUGAUUCACAUUACAGUUAAGUUUAUUUCUAAAUGAAAUAAACGAAGCGGGUAGCGUGCUACCUAUCUCUCAAAAAAAAAAAAAAGAAAUCAAAUUUUAUAUAUUUUCGAUAUUGUUCUCUUAUCCAUCGAGUAGACGCAGAAAUGAACGGCUGAAAAUGAAUAUUCUUUAAAAAAUGAUGAUAGGAGUCUUGUAAUCAAGAUCAAGAGUAUAGAUCUUGUUUUAAAUAGUUUAAAUAAUUUUUUAAUAAAAAUUCAAUUGAUUUGGAUAUCUUUACGCCGUUAAACGAGAAAACGUCUCAUAUCGACCAUUAAAAUUACAAAUUUUAAAACCCUUUGAUCAUUAGGCAAAUGAUGUUGAAAAGAUUUGAAAUUUGAUUUCUAAACACUUCAAGUGGUAUAGAUCAUAUUCAACGGUGCCGAUCGUCGAUUUGGAGGUUCCAUCAGCGAAAACAAAUGGAUGGCAAUAGAGCCUGUUUAGAUAGUAUUCUAGCUCAACGCUAUAUAUAUAUAUAUAUUUGAUAUAUAUAUAUAAUAUAGAGUCUGCUAUCGGUAGCCACGAGGCUCCGUGCCUACCAAGUUUUUUCGAUGAUGCGGCUUCCAAAUCGAUGAUCGGCUCCAUAGACUCAUCUACACUAUUGAAAGUAUUUGGAAACUAAAUUUCAAAUUUUUCUGAUAUUAUUGACUAGUGAUCAAAAGAUCUCAAAAUUGACAAUUUUAAUGCCGAUGUGGUGUAUUUGUGAGUUUAACGGUGUAAAACAAUUCAAAUGCGAUGAAAUAUUUAUAAAAAAUUCUUUUCACUAUUUAGAGUAAGAUCAGCAUAUCUGAUCUUGAAUUUAAAUCUUUUGUCAUAUUUUUUAUGAGAUUUUUAUUUUAGCCGUUCAAUUUUAGACUACUUGUUUGAUAGAGUAAAUGAUAUCGAAAAAUUAUGAAAUUUAGUUUCUAAAUACUUUCAAUAGUGUAGAUCAACUCUAACGGAGCCGAUCGUCGAUUUGGAAGCCCGCAUCAUCGAAAACAACUUGGUAGCACGGAGGCUCCGUGCUACGAUAGUAUUAGUGCCUAGCGCUCGCUCUCUCUCUCUCUCUCUCUCUCUCUCUCUUCUUCUCUCUCUCUCUCUCUUUGAGCUAGAAUACUAUCGAUAGCAAACGGCUCCGUUGCCACCAUUUGUUUUCGAUGAUAGAGCCUCCAAAUCAACGAUUGGCGCGAUUGAAAAUGAUCUAUACCACUUAAAGUGUUUAGAAUCAAAUUUCAAAUCUUUUUACAUCAUUUGCUAAUGAUCAAAAGGUUUCAAAAUUUGUAAUUUAAUGGUCGAUAUAAGGCGUUUUCUCGUUUAACGGCGUAAAGAUAUCCAAAUCAAUUGAAUUUUUGUUAGAAAAUUCUUUAAACUAUUUAAAACAAGAUCUAUACUCUUGAUCUUGAUUACAAGACUCCUAUCAUCAUUUUUAAAGAAUAUUUAUUUUCAGCUGUUUAUUUUUGUGUCCACUUGAUGGAUAAGAGAACAAUAUCGAAAAUAUAUGAAAUUUGAUUUCUAAAUACUUCAAGUGGUAUAGAUCAUAUUCAACGGUGCCGAUCGUCGAUUUGGAGGCUCCAUCAUCGAAAAUAAAUGGGUGGCAACGGAGCCCGUUUGCUAU